GGAGGGGUCGCAUAGCGGUCUAGUGCAUCGGUCUUGAAAACCGACGUGCCGCAAGGCACCGCGAGUUCGAAUCUCGCCCCCUCCG
rnacentral:tRNA from 1 species